AUGAUCUAUUUGCCAUUGUCUUCCUCAUUGAAAGAUGUCCUUGAAAGUCUGAAAAAGAACUCCCAACAGCUAAUAAACAAAGCUGAAUGGGAAUGGGAUGACACAAUACGUGACAUUUUUGAUGGUGACGUCAUGAGAGAGCACAUUCAGAACAAAACAACUGGCCGGUGGGAUUUGACUUUACUGUGGAAUUGUGAUGGAAUUCCCGUAUUUGAAUCAUCUCAGUGUUCCCUCUGGCCAAUACAAGUAACUAUCAAUGAGCUGCCACCAGCUAUGGGAAAAGAACAUAUCCUGCUGUCAUCACUAUGGUUUGGCAAGUCAAAGCCAGUCAUUGAGACCUUUUUAAAGCCAUUUGUUGAAGAGAUGGAAGUUUUAAAAGAGACUGGACUACAGUGGAUCGAUGGUGAUGAGAUUCGCACUAGUAGAGCCUUUGCAGUUGUAAGUGCUUGUGAUGCGGUUGCAAGACCAAUGCUAAAAGACAGCACACAGUUUAAUGGCAAGUAUGGAUGUGACUGGUGUCUUCACCCUGGUGAGCGUGUAGAAAAGGGAAAUGGCUUUGUGAACACCUACCCUUAUGAUGAUUCCCCUGUAGAAAAAAGGCAACCCCAACAAUGGGAAGAGGAUGCAGUCAAGGCCUCACAAGAAGGCUCUCCUGUGAGGGGAGUAAAAGGAAUAUCCCCACUUCUGUUUCUGCCAUUUUUUAACAUCAUAACUGGUUUCGUCCCAGAGUACAUGCAUGCUGUCCUAUUAGGUGUUGUUCGUCAGUUUAUGACCCUGUGGUUUGACAGCUCAUAUCACUGCAAGCCAUGGUAUAUUGGAACAAGAAAACAAGUCAUUAGUAGUCGGUUGCUGUCACUUAAGCCCCCCAAGGAAGUCACACGUACUCCUUCUUCAUUGGACAAGAUAAGAUUUUGGAAAGCUUCGGAAUUUAAGAAUUGGCUGCUUUACUACUCCUUUGCUGUUCUUCAAGGUGUCUUGCCCUCACAGUAUCUAAACCACUGGUUGCUUUUGGUUUAUGCUAUGCAUGUGCUCCUUAUGAAUAACAUCUCACGGCAAGCUAUACAAAAGGCUGAUCUUGCUUUACAUAAAUUUGUGAUACAAGUUGCACCGUUAUAUGGCAGAGAACACAUCAGCUUUAAUGUUCAUCAGCUAACACAUUUAGCUGAUACUGUCAAGUUAUGGGGUCCAUUGUGGUGUAUAUCAGCAUUUGCAUUUGAAAGUAAUAAUCAUAAUCUCAUGAUGUAUUUUCAUGGUACCCAGUGUGUUCCUGAACAGAUCUGCCGCACAUUUCUCCUUUGGCGUUACAUCUUUAGACAAACAAUAACAGAGCAAAAUAGUCUUGUUUUCCGUUACUGCAGGAGACUUACGGGAAUGAGACAGGUAAAAAACCUGCUCAUUUUAAACAAUCUACAUCUCUUUGGCACUCCAAAAUUUCAACCACUGUCACCAAGCCAACUUGCUGCUAUUAACCGAACAUUUCACAUUAUCGUACUUCGUCCAUUACAGUUCUUCAAAAGAUUUUUACAUGAUGGCAUUUUGUACACUUCUGAUACGUACACAAAAAUGCGAAAGCGCAUUAAUUCUACAGCGAUGCUUCAGGAUGGAAGCUUUUUGCGUAUUCAGCAUUUAGUUUUGCUGAGGGGUCAUUGUGGCUGUGGAUUUAGUGAUUGUUCCUGCGCAUCAAUGCCUUUAAUUCUGGGUCGUCCUCUCAAAAAACAAACAAAAGCGCCAUUCACAGACAGACAAUUAAACUUUAGUAUUGAUUUUGUGACCGAGGUAACGGAGAGUCUCGAAACAAUUGCGGUUCCGGUUUCAUCACUAAAAAACAAAUGUGUUUUCAUCAAGAUUAGGGAAAAGCGGUAUGUGAUCCCAAUUGUAAACACAAUCGAAACAGACUAA
ensembl:lncRNA